rnacentral:misc_RNA from 1 species
UAAUAAGUGUUUUAUGGCACUUUUUAAAUCCAUAUCCACCUUGUGUGCAAUGUCAGUCGAUCUUCUUCAUUGGAGAUCGACCAAACAUCAACCUUUAUUUUUAACUCUUUGUCUGAAAAAUAUUACGAAUAAACAAUUCAAAAUA